CCUACGGGUGGCUGCAGUGGGGGAUAUUGCACAAUGGGGGAAACUCUGAUGCAGCGACGCCGCGUGAGUGAAGAAUUAUCUCGGUAUGUAAAGCUCUAUCAGCAGGGAAGAAAAUGACAGUACCUGACCAAGAAGCUACGGCUAAUUACGUGCCAGCAGUCGCGGGAAGACGUAGGGGGCAAGCGUUAUCCGGAUUUACUGGGUGUAAAGGGAGCGUAGGCGGUUAUGUAAGUCUGGAGUGAAAGCCCGGGGCCCAACCCCAGGACUGCUUUGGAAACUGUGUAACUGGAGUACAGGAGGGGCAGGCGGAAUUCGUGGUGUAGCGGUGAAAUGCGUAGAUAUCAGGAGGAACACCGGCGGCGAAGGCGGCCUGCUGGACUGAAACUGACGUUGAGGCUCGAAAGCGUGGGGAGCAAACAGGAUUAGAUACCCCAGUAGUC
rnacentral:rRNA from 1 species